AGCAAAGGUGGGUGAGAUUCAUGACACCAGUCCCUCCCUUUAAAGUCCAUGAGGAGAAUUCACACUGGAGCCAAGGGUAGAAAAUAGAUAUGAAGCACUGGUAGCGCCCUGCAAGGGCAUUCAUUUUAACCCCUACCCAUGGCGCACUAUGUUCAGGCCCUACCAAAGCCUGGUUGCUUCAGCCAAAUGUAAGGCCCAGACCUGCCCCAAAUCAGAAAUGACUUUGUCAGUAUAUCCAUUAGCUACUCUGUCACUCAAUCCCUGCAUGCACUGCUCUUGACAGCUCUGAGUAAUCAUAGUAAGGUCUGCUUGGGCUCCUCAAUGAAGAGACAUGAGAGCUGUUUGCUACUUUUCAUCACUCUAAACUCCCAACUCAAGGAACAUCAAUUUCUGUGAAACAAUGUCUUAUAUAUUUGAUGCGGUUGAAGCACUUCUGUCACCAUGUUAUGAUCUUAGUCAGAUAUUGCUGUACUUCACAGCGGAGCACGAGCAAAGGGCACAGCUUCAAAAUGUGAUACUCGAGCCCUGCCUGUACCCUAGUUAUUGAUGGAAAAAACAGGCCCUAACCCAAUAUGUUGGGGCCCGUCGAGUAGCAGAGCUCUUACUGCUGAACUACAAGCAGUUAGCCACACUCACAUUAACAUCUGCAGCUGGUUCUGAGAUUUCUCUGAAACAAUUGAAGGUGUAACAUUCCAGUGCACCUUUGUGAGAAGGGAGCUAUGAAGGUCUUGUGAUGUUUAGCUCAACAUUUUUAUUCAGCUAACACCCAAUCUAGCAUGAAGUCCUGCUUGUUGGAAUCCUAUAGAUCAGACCUGGUUGUAUCUAUAAAAUAUGGUAAAUCUGGGUAAGUAAUGUCUCGGAAGCAGUGGAAUCUAGUCUUCUAAUACAACCCAAAAAGAUACUGUAAGACCACAUUUUGUUUUGUAGAAUAUUUCAAUAUCUCACGAGUCCAGUGAUCUGUGCUACACAGUGGGCAUUUUAGACAAGCGUCUAGACUGUAACUAUGGGAUAGCACUGUACUUGGCCCAAGCACAUUCAUCAGUGUGUUUGUCGUACUUCAGCCUGUCAUGCUGGCAUCCUUGCCAACACCCAGCAAUGAUCCAGGCUGCUCCUUAUCCUGGUUCUGACAACAGGAUCUAGAACAAAAACAAUGGAGACUUUUUAGAGAAUUCUUUACAUUGCAACUUCCAUCUGAUAUGCUACCAACAGUGAUUUUAUUAUGAGGCUCACAGACGAUGGAUGGUUGGAUCCUCUUUAGGAUCUUUGAAUAUCAAGAAGAUGUUAAUACAUUUGUUGUCAUGUCCGGCAAUCAAAACAAACUACUCGAUCAACAUGAAUGCGUUUUGAAUUUAACCAAUUUAGCCAAUGGUUUAAAGCCCAUCUGAAGAGACCAAAACCAUAUUCUUUCCAAUCAAGAUUCAUCUUGAUUAAAUGGCAAUUAAUUGAAGAUUUAACACAGCUUUGAAGCUUUCUGCUGAAUGUAUUAGAUUAAACCAAACCAGUUCUUCUACACAGAAAUGACUUUAAUGUAUUGUCUGCAUAUGAAAGCUGUAUUUUGGGCCUCAUACCCUCAACCGCAUAUGGUAUUGUUAGAAUUACAAAAAUUGACAAUCACGUUUAGAUUCUGUAAUUCUGAAAUGCUAUGUUUUGGGUAGCAUGAAUAAAUAGCCAGUGUCGUCUACCGCCAGCCUCCUGGGGUGAAAGUUUCCAUUGCGUUCUGGCAGGCAGGCUGUGCCAUCUCUGCAGCCUUUAGCUCCCAUCCAUCUGUUCAUGUAAAAUAAAUUGAUCCAAAGCACACACAAUAAUAGACAUUAUAUUUACGUUAUCAUACCUGGAAUGAAUUGCGUUGGUUUGCAUCUUCAGUUUUUUGUUUUCAUGUAGUUUUAAUGUCACGUGUGUGUUGCAAGAGAGACAGACACUGAUGGGUUCAUAAAUAUGCAUAGGUUUAUGCAAAUUCAUAAUCUUUUAUCUUUCCUAGCAUCCCCCUGUUCUCCAUCUGGUACUUUAAGGCUGAUUCAGACACACCUGAGAAUGUUGGAACUGCUCCAGUUAGGGUGGGGAUUGUGGAGACAUGAGGACAGAGCUAGAAGAAACACUGUGAGGUAAACAGAGAGCAAUAGAAAGGAGAAAGAUCAUUCUGUUUUUCCUUCCAGUGACUAGAGAAUGAACAUGGCAGGCAGAGUGAUAUGUGGAAAGGGACGCACGGCCAACCCAAAGCUCUUCACCCCGGCCUUCUCUCAGACAGAUUCCAUCAGGAAAGGAGGAGGGAAGAGGAGGAUGUUCUCCUUUUCACUACGGUGUCGACUCGGCAUCAUCAGAGGGAGGACCAAAGAUGACGGGCCCUACUCUAAGGGCAACAAGGACUCUGGAGGUACCGACCAUGCCUCCAGGAGACGCAGUAUUGCAGAAGACUACCGGGGUGUGACCACUGUGGACCUAAUAAAGAGGGAGGGCAGCAGCUUGGGCCUCACCAUCUCCGGGGGGUCCGAUAAGGACGGCAAGCCCAGAGUGUCCAACCUACGGCCAGGUGGGCUAGCUGCCAGGAGUGACCAGCUGAAUGUGGGAGACUACAUCAAGUCUGUGAACGGCAUCAACCUGUCCAAGCUCCGCCACGAGGAGAUCAUCAGCCUGCUGAAGAACAUAGGGGAACGUGUGGUGCUGGAAGUGGAGUACGAAUUACCUCCCUUUGUCCAGAAUGCUCCCUCGGGUGUCAUAUCUAAGACCAUAGAGGUGUGCCUAUACAAAGAGGGUAACAGCUUUGGAUUCGUCAUGAGAGGAGGGUUCCAUGAAGACUGGCACAGGUCUCGUCCUCUGGUAGUGACCUACGUACGGCCCGGGGGUCCUGCUGAUAGAGAGGGCACACUGAAGGCUGGUGACCGCGUGUUGAGCGUGGAUGGGAUGCCCUUAAACCGAGAGAAGCACGCUGACACCCUCACUAUGCUGAUGCAGUGUAGCCAGGAAGCCCUGUUCCUGAUUGAGUAUGACGUCUCCGUCAUGGAGUCUGUGCAGCAGGCCUCUGGCCCCCUGCUGGUGGAGAUAGUGAAGUGUCCUGCAGCCAGCCUGGGUGUCAGCCUGGCUACUGCAGUGUACAGGAACAAGCAGGUCAUCGUCAUUGACAAAAUCAAACAGGCCAGUGUGGUGGAGAGGUGUGGGGCAUUGCAUAUAGGUGAUCUUCUCCUGUGUAUAGAUGGGACCAGUACUGAGCACUGUUCCCUGAUGGAGGCCACGCAGCUGUUGGCCCAAACCUCUGACAUUGUUAAAUUGGAGAUCCUGACAGCCAAUCAGAGCAGACUUCCCAUGAGACCUCAAAACACAGUGAAAGUGGAGAAGAGCAACCUUCACCAUUGGGACCCCACUGUUAACUACAGCCACACCCAACACUGCAAGACAUGGAGCAGUCCCAGCCACCCACUCAACCAGCAGGACCACUGCACAUCUCUGGUGUGUGGUGGCUUCUCCCCUUCCUCCACAGCCACCUCAGGGUACAGCAGUAGCCAGGGCAGCAGCACCCUACCCUGCCCCAUCCCAUCCACCAGCCCCCGUAGCACCACACAUAAGAGACGCCAGAGGAGGAAGGAGCACAAGAGCUCACUGUCCCUAGCAUCCAGCUCAGUGGGCCCUGGGGGUCAGGUUGUUCAUGUGGAGACCAGCGAGGUCAUCGUGAGGGGGGAUCCACUCACAGGGUUCGGGGUUCAGCUGCAAGGGGGUGUCUUUGCCACAGAGACCCUGACCGUUCCCGCAGUCAUCCGCUUCAUCGAGCCUGACAGCCCUGCCGAAAGAUGUGGGUUGCUGCAGGUGGGGGACAGACUCCUGUCCAUCAACAGAAUCCCUACAGAGGAUGGAACACUGGAGGAGGCCAAUCAGCUACUGCGUGACGCUGCUCUGGCCAAUAAGGUCACCCUGGAGAUUGAGUUUGAUGUAGCAGAAUCAGUGGUUCCCAGUAGUGGCACGUUCCAUGUAAAACUGCCCAAGAGGAGAGGAGUGGAACUUGGCAUCACCAUCAGUGCAACCAAGAGACCUGACAAACCUCUGAUCAUCUCUAAUAUCAGGAAAGGAAGCAUAGCCCACAGGACGGGUACGUUGGAGCCAGGGGACAGGCUGCUGGCCAUCGACAACGUGCGUCUGGAGAACUGCACCAUGGAGGAUGCUAUGCACGUGCUUCAGCAGGCAGAGGACAUGGUCAAGCUCCGGAUCCAGAAGGACGAGGACAACGCUGAUGAGCUGGAGAUGUCUGGUUCCAUUACCUACACGGUGGAGCUAAAGCGUUACAACGGCCCGUUGGGUAUCACCAUCUCAGGCACAGAGGAGCCCUUUGACCCCAUCGUCAUCUCAGGCCUCACCAAGAAUGGCCUGGCUGAAAGGACUGGUGCCAUCCACAUAGGGGACCGUGUCUUGGCCAUUAACUGUGUGAGUCUGAAGGGGAAACCACUGAGUGAGGCCAUCCAUCUGCUCCAGAUGGCCGGAGAGACUGUCACCCUCAAGAUCAAAAAACGGCAAGACGAAUCAGAUGUGCAGCAGAUGUCGGAGCAGGCAGGGUUCCUGAGCGACACAGAGGAUGAGCUGACUGACUCUCAGAAGACCAGUAAACAUUCAGGGGUGUACUCUGCCACCGUGCCCAGCAUGGACUCUGCCAUGAGCUCCUGGGACGGCUCCGGCAUCGACGCUGACUACGGCAGCCAAGGAACGUAUCUCCACAGAGCUGCAGAUUUGACUUUCCAGCCUAAUGAGUGGAGACGCACCAAACCACCCAGGACCCAACCCAACUCCAUCUCCACUGGCCUUACCCACCACUCUCACCUCUACGAUGGGAGAUACACUGAGGAUGACUGGGAUACGGCUGCUGGAUACGCCAGCCCCCCUAGUUACCAUGGCACCCGGAAACAGGAGGAUAGCUUCUGGUCCCAGGCACUGCAGGACCUAGAGACCUGCGGCCAAUCAGAGAUACUCAGGGAGCUGGAGGCGUCCAUGACUGGCAGCACUCUCAGCCUGUAUCUGGAGGAAACGAGGUCCCAGGAUGACUCAGUGCUACAGAGCAGAAUCAGUCCUGUGAAGGGGGGUCCCAUUCAUGAUGAGCCCAAAACCAAAAGCAACCUGCAGAGAUCAAACAGGACCAGGGACACACCACCCAGGGGGAGAGGGGAGCCCCAGGAGACCAGCUCCCCUACAACCCUGGAACUACUGAAGGGCUCCAGCCCUGCAUACCUUGUGUUAGAUUGUGUUCACUUGCCGUCUCAAGAAGAAACAAGUAUUUUGUAAUGACGGACUUCAACAUGCUGUUUGCCUAUCUUCAAGUGUUGUGCAUCCAUCGAACAUAACCACACAACAAUAUAAAGAACAUUAAUGGAAUCCGCUGUGUCGGUGUGUGCGCGCGUGGUGGUGACCAAAUGUUCAGUAUGGGCCUCAGCAUGGACCUCAGCAUGGACAACACUAUAGUGAGAAGAACAUAAGCAAUCAGCAUAAGUUACUAGCGGGUGAGGGCAUUCACAGCCGAGCUCCUAUUAACACAUUUUUUUCAUUUUUCAUUUAGCUACCAAUAGUUAAAAAAAAAUUUUGAGACAGAUUCUAACCUGCUAUAGUUAAGAUGUUGAGAUACCCAAAGAGGAGUUUGUGCGUCUCACCACGAGACAACCAUCACCACCCACCUCAGCCCACCCCCGCCAUAGAAGCGGUCACGCACCUGAGCCUUCCUCACUUUCUCAUCCAAGAGACUACUACAAGCCCUGCUCCAGGCCUUCCCAGUGGUGAGUGAGUACACCCUCUCCAGUUAGGAGCUGCAGAGGGACUACUGAUCUAUGAGCAGGAAGAGCUCAGGAGGGCGUACUCUAGGUCCUCCCGGCCUGAGUCACCACCACGGGAGCACCAUUACUGCCGUUAUUCUCCUGACCAUCGUCAUGGCCUCAGAAGCACCACGGCUGCUGAUACUUCCAUAGUCAGCCCGGCUGCUUACCUGAGAGACUCGACUCCAGGCCUCCCCGGCCAGAGUGUUCACCACCUCAAUGGGAGCAUUGGGACUUCUACUACGUUCCGAAGUGGCCCACAAGGCGUAGUCGCUCCAGUCCCUACCCGGCUGGAGCCUACGUAUCUUUAAAAAAAUAUAUAUAUAUAUUUUUUACAUCCCUUUUUCUCCCCAAUUUUGUGGUAUCCAAUUGGUAGUUAGUCUUGUCCCAUCGCUGCAACUACCGUACGGACUUGGGAGAGGCGAAGGUCGAGAGCCGUGCGUCCUCCUAAACACAACCCAACCAAGCCGCGCUAACCAUUUACCCACAAGCAAGCCGCACCAAUGUGUCGGAGGAAACACUGUACACCUAGUGACCGUGUCAUCGUGCACUGCACCCGGCCCACCACAGGAGUUGCUAGUGUGCAAUGGGACAAGUACAUCCCUGCCGGCCAAACCCUCCCCUAACCCGGACAAUGCUGGGCCAAUUGUGCGCCGCCCCAUGGGUCUCCCGGUCGGGGCCGGCUGCGACAGAGCUUGGACUCGAACCCAGAAUCUCUAGUGGCACACCACUUAGACCACUGUGCCACUCUGGAGGCCCCGCCUAUGUCGUAUCUACCAGCGCGUCGGGAACGCCUCCUGGUCCAGAUCCCAAGCCAAGCUGUGGAUUCUAUGCCUGCUCCUAGUAUGUAACCACAGCCUGCAGCUACUGGCAAGGUUAAGUGCAGGCUUAUCCACCCCGGGUUGCCAGCACCAUGCUAAUUCAGCUCUCGGUCCCUAGCACUAUGUCAUCAGUCUCCCGCCAUGCUAGGUCUGUCUCCCCAGCAUAAGUCUGCCCUCAGUACCUAGCCCAGGUGGGUCAUCAGGCUUCUACCCGGUUAGGCUCAGAGUUACCAGUUCCUCUAGUAGGCCCAGAGCUCCACUGCUCUCCUAGCUAUUAGUCGUUCUCCCUGGCAGGUCCAGAGUCAGUGUGAGUGUCUCCCUGUCAGGUCCAGAGUGGGUUUUCCUUCUUAGGUCCAGAGCUACUUAACCUGUCAGGCCCAAGUUAUUGGCACUAGGCUCCCAGCCAUAAGAUGUUUUCGUUUCAAAGUCUACAGCUCUAGUCAACCCUCAGUCCACUGCUCCACCAGGCUAAAGGUUCUUUGCCACACUAGGUCUGCAGCUUCUGCCCUCAGUUAGUCCUCAGCCCCCAGUCUCAGUUGACAAGCAGUCCGAUCCCUCAGUGCUACAUGCCAAACCUCCUGCCCGUCUUCAGGGCCCAGCCUGCCCCUGCCUCCAGAUCCCUGAUGAGCCUCGCCCAGGGGUCCUCACCUGCUCCACCAUGGGUGCCAUUGCUUUCAGCAGUGGUGAGGCAGUCACCAACCUCAGCAGCAACAGCCAAUGAGCUGCUAACGACAGUUGUGGCCGGCAUGCCACAAUCCUCUGCAGCAGUAGGCAAUCCACCACCUCCAGCCAUGACCAGCCUCCGGCAUUUUACUCAGCGCCAACAGAUGGACUAGAGUUAGAGGGUCAUUUGCAACACUUGUGUUGUUCCAUGGGGCUGCCCAAAGCUGUCUCUGCGCCUCUGUGCACCUCCCUUCCCUUGCGGCCCCUAAGCCACUUAUGUAUACCAGUGCCGGCACCCUCCUGGCCCCUAUGGUCCCCUAAAUGGAUACCCUUCACUGCCCUGGUCCCUUCACUUUCCUGCCUAUCCUGCAGGAUAGGACUAGGUCCUUUCAGGACUUAACCCCCAAAGAAAUCCAGGUGCGGCUAUACAAAAGGCUGCCCCUCUCAAACUGAUUGGCCUGCAGCCCUGUCAAUCACCCAUUCACACCUAUGUUCAUCCAACCAAUCAGGGCACUUGGACGCACUCCAGGGCUCCGCCCCGCACACCACUUGGUAGAGCUUGUUCACCGACCGUCUCGAGAAGAAUAAGUAUUGUGUAAUGACUGACUUCAACAUGCUGUUUUCCUUUCUUGAACAUGUGAAAUAUGUGUAGGUGUGUGCAAUGUCUGACUCAGGACGAGGCCUAUUUGUUAGUCUGAGUGUUUCUGAGUGAAGUUUUAUGGUUAGCUUGUAGCUAAUGCAUGUAUUUGUAUUGCCAUAUUAUAAGUAGCCUAUUGUAUUUCAACAUGUGUUGCUAUACCUUUGCAUUCGUUUAUGUUCAUAUUAUGCCACAAUUUUGUCUUUGUAUUAUUGUAUUGCAUGUAUAUCUAUUUCUUAGUGUUUAGUGGAUCCUAAUGCUUGUAUUGUUCCUUCCUUUUUAGAACCACACAACAAUAUAAAGAACGUUAAUGGAA